rnacentral:rRNA from 1 species
CAGUCGCCGCGGUAAUACGUAGGUGGCAAGCGUUGUCCGGAAUUAUUGGGCGUAAAGGGCUCGCAGGCGGUUCCUUAAGUCUGAUGUGAAAGCCCCCGGCUCAACCGGGGAGGGUCAUUGGAAACUGUUUAACUUGAGUGCAAGAGGGGAGAGUGGAAUUCCAUGUGUAGCGGUGAAAUGCGUAGAUAUAUGGAGGAGCACCGGUGGCGAAAGCGGCUCUCUGGUCUGUCACUGACGCUGAGGCUCGAAAGCGUGGGUAGCGAACAGGAUUAGAUACCCGAGUAGUCCCUGUCUCUUAUAC